rnacentral:rRNA from 1 species
CCAUUGAUACUGGCGGGCUUGAGUGUAGAUGAGGUAGGCGGAAUGCGUGGUGUAGCGGUGGAAUGCAUAGAUAUCACGCAGAACUCCGAUUGCGAAGGCAGCUUACUAAGGUACAACUGACGCUGAAGCACGAAAGCGUGGGUAUCAAACAGGAUUAGAUACCCUGGUAGUCCACGCAGUAAACGAUGAUAACUGGGCGUAUGCGAUAUACAGUAUGCUCCUAAGCGAAAGCGUUAAGUUAUCCACCUGGGGAGUACGCCGGCAACGGUGAAACUCAAAGGAAUUGACGGGGGCCCGCACAAGCGGAGGAACAUGUGGUUUAAUUCGAUGAUACGCGAGGAACCUUACCCGGGAUUGAAAUGUAGAUGACCGCUCCUGAAAGGGAGUUUUCCUUCGGGACAUCUAUGUAGGUGCUGCAUGGUUGUCGUCAGCUCGUGCCGUGAGGUGUCGGCUUAAGUGCCAUAACGAGCGCAACCCCUGUCUACGGUUGCCAUCAGGUAAUGCUGGGAACUCCGUAGAGACUGCCGUCGUAAGGCGUGAGGAAGGUGGGGAUGACGUCAAAUCAGCACGGCCCUUACAUCCGGGGCGACACACGUGUUACAAUGGUAAGGACAAAGGGCAGCUACCUGGCGACAGGAUGCGAAUCUCUAAACCUUAUCACAGUUCGGAUCGGAGUCUGCAACUCGACUCCGUGAAGCUGGAUUCGCUAGUAAUCGCGCAUCAGCCAUGGCGCGGUGAAUACGUUCCCGGGCCUUGUACACACCGCCCGUCAAGCCAUGGGAGUCUGGAGUACCUAAAGUCCGUAACCGCAAGGGUCGGCCUAGGGUAAUACAGGUGACUGGGGCUAAGUCGUAACAAGGUAGCCGUACCGGAAGG